rnacentral:rRNA from 1 species
GACAAACGCUGGCGGCAUGCCUAACACAUGCAAGUCGAACGGACAGAACAGGGAAGCUCUUCGGAGUGGAACUGGAAAGUUAGUGGCGGAUGGGUGAGUAACGCGUGGACAACCUACCUUGUAAAGGGGAAUAACCUCGAGAAAUCGAAGCUAAUACCCCAUAAUAACCUUGAAUCGCAUGAAGCAAGGAGGAAAGGCGGCCUUAGCGCUGUCGAUAGAAGAUGGGUCCGCGUCUGAUUAGCUAGUUGGUGAGGUAAAGGCUCACCAAGGCGACGAUCAGUAGCCGGCCUGAGAGGGUGAACGGCCACAUUGGGACUGAGACACGGCCCAAACUCCUACGGGAGGCAGCAGUGGGGAAUCUUCCGCAAUGGGCGAAAGCCUGACGGAGCAAUGCCGCGUGAGUGAAGAAGGCCUUCGGGUUGUAAAACUCUGUCCUAGACGAAGAGAGAGUAUUGUAGUAACUGACAAUGCUAGGACGGAGAUAGG